AAGUGCCAGGCCCCGAUGGUUAGGAGGGCGCGGCAGUUGCUGCAAAAACUUGGGCGUGAGCCUGGGUGGAGCGGCCGUCGGUGCAGAUUUUGGUGGUAGUAGCAAAUAUUCAAAUGAGAACUUUGAAGGCCGAAAAGGGGAAAGGCCGACGU
rnacentral:ncRNA from 1 species